rnacentral:rRNA from 1 species
CCUACGGGUGGCAGCAGUGGGGAAUAUUGGACAAUGGGGGCAACCCUGAUCCAGCCAUGCCGCGUGUGUGAAGAAGGCCCUCGGGUUGUAAAGCACUUUCAGUGAGGAAGAACGCCUGGUGGUUAAUACCCAUCAGGAAAGACAUCACUCACAGAAGAAGCACCGGCUAACUCCGUGCCAGCAGCCGCGGUAAUACGGAGGGUGCGAGCGUUAAUCGGAAUUACUGGGCGUAAAGCGCGCGUAGGUGGCUUGAUAAGCCGGUUGUGAAAGCCCCGGGCUCAACCUGGGAACGGCAUCCGGAACUGUCAAGCUAGAGUGCAGGAGAGGAAGGUAGAAUUCCCGGUGUAGCGGUGAAAUGCGUAGAGAUCGGGAGGAAUACCGGUGGCGAAGGCGGCCUUCUGGACUGACACUGACACUGAGGUGCGAAAGCGUGGGUAGCAAACAGGAUUAGAUACCCUUGUAGUC